GGAAGUCGUCCACUACUUGUGAUCCAGACAGCUGAGCUAUUUAUGAGAUGGACAUUAUUUGAAUUCUCACAUCUUCCUUCAUCAGGAGUCAAGGCACUGCCAUUUGCUAUUUGGCAUAUAUGUGUGGUUCAGCUAAGAAGCUUUUUCUGUGGUGGCUGCUGGCUCAAUAGCUCUGGAAGCAAGAGCUGAAAAUUCAAGCACUGGAAUGCAAGAUAAAUAUUCUUCUGCCAGCUGGUGAAGGAGAAAUGGGGACAGGUGAUCAUAAAGGACUGCUUUAUCAAAGAAAAUCCAGGGUUCAAUUAAAAGAGAGGGAAGAGAGAGGUAAAGCGACUGACAAUUGUGGUUUUCUGGUUAGAAGGGAAUACUGUAGAAUGAACAGCAAAACAGGAAGAGAGGUGAGGCUGUGAAGAAAAAAGACUGAAAGCAUAAAAAGUGAUAGGAGAGAUAUAUUGUGUGUUAGGGAUUGGCCAGGAUUAGAAAAAGUCAAAAUCCAAGAGAAAAACAAAGGUGAUGUCUGAUUUUUAAGGAGGAAGGAGAGGAAUAGCAUUUAAAUAUGGGAAUUUGAAAAGGGAAAAUUUGUGAUGGUGGUGGAAGUGGAAGUGGAGAGAAAUACUAGAAAAGAGACAU